UGGCCUAUAGCUCAGUUGGUAGAGCAGCACCCUGUUAAGGUGAUGGUCGCAGGUUCGAGCCCUGCUAGGUCAGCCA
rnacentral:tRNA from 1 species